rnacentral:rRNA from 1 species
GACGAACGCUGGCGGCGUGCUUAACACAUGCAAGUCGAACGAAGUGUCGAACGGGUGAGUAACGCGUAAUCAACCUGCCCUUCAGAGGGGGACAACAGUUGGAAACGACUCCUAAUACCGCAUACUGAAGGAGGGGAUUGCGUCUGAUUAGCUAGUUGGAGGGGUAACGGCCCACCAAGGCGAUGCUCAGUAGCCGGUCUGAGAGGAUGAGUGGGCAACUUGGGACCGAGAAACGGCCCAGACUCCUACGGGAUGCAGCAGUGGGGAAUCGUCCGAAAUGGACGAAAUUUUGAUGGAGCAACGGCGCGUGAGGUAUGACGGCCUGCGGGUUGGAAAGAUCUGUUAAUCGGGAAGCGGUACCGGAAUAGAAAGCCACGGCUAACUACGUGCCAGCAGCCGCGGUAAUAC